rnacentral:rRNA from 1 species
UGGGGAAUCUUGGACAAUGGGGGCAACCCUGAUCCAGCCAUGCCGCGUGAGUGAUGAAGGCCUUAGGGUCGUAAAGCUCUUUCGCCUGUGAAGAUAAUGACGGUAGCAGGUAAAGAAACCCCGGCUAACUCCGUGCCAGCAGCCGCGGUAAUACGGAGGGGGUUAGCGUUGUUCGGAAUUACUGGGCGUAAAGCGCACGUAGGCGGACCAGAAAGUUGGGGGUGAAAUCCCGGGGGCUCAACCCCGGAACUGCCUCCAAAACUAUUGGUCUAGAGUUCGAGAGAGGUGAGUGGAAUUCCAAGUGUAGAGGUGAAAUUCGUAGAUAUUUGGAGGAACACCAGUGGCGAAGGCGGCUCACUGGCUCGAUACUGACGCUGAGGUGCGAAAGUGUGGGGAGCAAACAGGAUUAGAUACCCUGGGUAGUCCACACCGUAAAACGAUGAAUGCCAGUCGUCGGGUAGCAUGCUAUUCGGUGACACACCUAACGGAUU